rnacentral:rRNA from 1 species
UGGGGAAUAUUGCACAAUGGGCGGAAGCCUGAUGCAGCGACGCCGCGUGAGGGAUGACGGCCUUCGGGUUGUAAACCUCUUUCGACCCUGACGAAGCGCAAGUGACGGUAGGGGGAGAAGAAGCGCCGGCCAACUACGUGCCAGCAGCCGCGGUAAGACGUAGGGCGCGAGCGUUGUCCGGAUUUAUUGGGCGUAAAGAGCUCGUAGGCGGCUUGUUGCGUCGACUGUGAAAACCCGCGGCUUAACCGCGGGCCUGCAGUUGAUACGGGCGGGCUAGAGUUCGGUAGGGGAGACUGGAAUUCCUGGUGUAGCGGUGAAAUGCGCAGAUAUCAGGAGGAACACCGGUGGCGAAGGCGGGUCUCUGGGCCGAUACUGACGCUGAGGAGCGAAAGCGUGGGGAGCGAACAG